rnacentral:rRNA from 1 species
AGUAGGGCCUGCCCACUGAUUUAUUAAAGGGCCGCAGUAUUUUAACUGUGCAAAGGUAGCAUAAUCAUUAGUUUUUUAAUUGAAAGCUGGAAUGAAUGGUUUGAUGAGAAAAGAGCUGUUUCAAUAUUAAUUUUUUAAAAUUUUAUUUUUAAGUAAAAAAGCUUAAAUUUGUAUAAAAGACGAGAAGACCCUAUAGAGUUUAAUUAAUAUAUAAAAUUUUUAUUUAAAGAAUUUAUUUUUAAAUAUUUUUUUUUUAAUUUAAUUGGGGUGAUUAAAAAAUUUAAAUAACUUUUUUUAUAUUUUUACAUUUUUUUAUGAAUUUGAUCCAUAAAUAAUAAU